UACAUUUUUUUUAAAAGUGCCAAUUUAACAAAGACUAAUAGGGAAAAAUCAAUGGUGGUAUUACACCUAUUUAGGGAAACCAUAUGUGCACUCGUGACCUUAUUGUACUUUCAUUUUUAAAAGUUAUAAAUAAACCAAUUCAUACAUUGUAAACAUGGACAAUUCGGAAUGGAUUUAGACACAGAAAGCACGUUUGAGUGUUAACCAUGUUCUGAAGAGCAUUCUGUUGAAAAAUCUUAUAUGUGAAUUGGUCUGCAGAUGACACUUCAGCAUUAAA